rnacentral:lncRNA from 1 species
UGGAUUAUGUUCGAAGAACUAUGCAUGUUGACAUAUAUGGAUUAUGUUAGAAGAACUAUGCAUGUUGAACUUGGGUCGAUAACUCUAGGUUGAUUAGAGAGUUCGACAUUGGAAAAUAAGAAUAUGAAAACUAUGAUACUUGAUGUGGACUAGUAGAUUGUCAAGUAGAUCGAGUGGCAUUUGGACUAGUGUAGUAGAAACACUAUGAUAUGCUUUGGAACUCGUGUAGUAGAGACACUUGUUGUAAGGUACCGGACUUCUAAAAUUAUGAAGUUACGGUGUACAUUUGGUUUGAAAGCCAUUUGAAUGGUUCCGGUGAGGUUGCAGUGGAAUGUAAUAUACCGGAUUUUAAAUAUAAAAAUAAAAAUAAAUAAAAAUAGUGUGAGAUACUAUUUUUAUUGGAUUUAGAGGAGUAAAACAUAAGUCUGAAGUGACUUGUGUUGAAAUCGGAAUGAAAACAGAAGAUCUAGAAUUUUCUGUUGGAAACGAGGUAGAUAAAUUAGCAGAAAAUGCACAGUAUCAGAAAAUUAUGAAAACUGGAGGAUAAGUCAGAAUUAUUUUUAUGAGGCUAGAUUUAAAGUUUCAUGUCAUUCUGACACCCGGAAGGUGGAAAAUAAAAUCCGACAGCUAUCUGAUAAAGAUUACAGUUUGGUACAGUUUUCAGUGACCAAACGGGGUCGAAACUGAAAACUUAAGAUAUAUUCUUACUCAGUACGUUAAACCGAGCCUGCCUGUCAAAUUUGAGCCCAAACGGACAUUCAGAAGGGCUCCGACUGUUCCGAACUGCUAAACUGCCCGGAAGUGAAUAGUGUUUUGGGGUGUAAU